AUUGAACGCUGGCGGCAGGCCUAACACAUGCAAGUCGAGCGGAUGAAGGGAGCUUGCUCCUGGAUUCAGCGGCGGACGGGUGAGUAAUGCCUAGGAAUCUGCCUGGUAGUGGGGGAUAACGUCCGGAAACGGGCGCUAAUACCGCAUCCGUCCUGAGGGAGAAAGUGGGGGAUCUUCGGACCUCACGCUAUCAGAUGAGCCUAGGUCGGAUUAGCUAGUUGGUGGGGUAAAGGCCUACCAAGGCGACGAUCCGUAACUGGUCUGAGAGGAUGAUCAGUCACACUGGAACUGAGACACGGUCCAGACUCCUACGGGAGGCAGCAGUGGGGAAUAUUGGACAAUGGGCGAAAGCCUGAUCCAGCCAUGCCGCGUGUGUGAAGAAGGUCUUCGGAUUGUAAAGCACUUUAUGUUGGGAGGAAGGGCAGUAAGUUAAUACCUUGCUGUUUUGACGUUACCAACAGAAUAAGCACCGGCUAACUUCGUG
rnacentral:rRNA from 1 species